CCCUUAGCUGUUCUGGGCCGCACACGCGCUACACUGAAGGAGGCAGCGUGUACUCCUGGAUCGAAAGAUUUGGGUAACCCGCGAAUCUCCUUCGUGCUAGGGAUUGAGGUUUGCAAUUAUCCUUCAUGAACGAGGAAUUCCCAGUAAGUGCAAGUCAUAAGCUUGCGCUGACUACGUCCCUGCCCUUUGUACACACCGCCCGUCGCUACUACCGAUUGAAUGAUUUAGUGAGGACUUCGGACUGGGACCGAUGCGGCUUUCGGGCUGCGUCGGUAUUCUGGAAAGAUGUCCAAACUGUAUCAUUUAGAGGAAGUAAAAGUCGUAACA
rnacentral:rRNA from 1 species